rnacentral:rRNA from 1 species
UACGUAGGGUGCAAGCGUUAAUCGGAAUUACUGGGCGUAAAGCGUGCGCAGGCGGUUAUGUAAGACAGGUGUGAAAUCCCCGGGCUUAACCUGGGAACUGCAUUUGUGACUGCAUAGCUAGAGUACGGUAGAGGGGGAUGGAAUUCCGCGUGUAGCAGUGAAAUGCGUAGAUAUGCGGAGGAACACCGAUGGCGAAGGCAAUCCCCUGGACCUGUACUGACGCUCAUGCACGAAAGGCGUGGG